GGGGGCGAAUGGAUUCGACGGGGAUGGAAGAGAUACGGGAAGCGUGCCGAGGUGCCAUCACCCUCGUUAAACAGGUGGCAAAACACAAAUGCCAAUAAUGACUUGGCACUGGCCGCCUAAGAACUAGGCGACCCGUCCGCUCCGGCCGAGCUAUCGGGGCCGGAACCCGGGCGUCGAUGACUGAUGGCUAGCUCGCGGCCUUGCUCCUAGAAUGCGGGUGAAAACUCAAAGGAGCUAGUUUCAUGACUCCUCUGCCUGUUGAGGAAUCAUGCGGCGAACGCAAAUCGACAGGCUACGCACGUAGAAGCCCGUAAGGAAGCAUCUUCGGACGCGGGUUCGAUUCCCGCCGCCUCCACCA
rnacentral:tmRNA from 1 species